rnacentral:rRNA from 1 species
GAUGAACGCUAGCGGCAGGCCUAAUACAUGCAAGUCGAACGGUGUCUUCGGACAUAGUGGCGCACGGGUGCGUAACACGUAUGCAACCUACCUUACAUUGGGGGAUAGCCUUUCGAAAGGGAGAUUAAUACCGCAUAAGACAGUAGCUGGGCAUCCAGCAGCUGGUAAAGAUUUAUCGAUGUAAGCUGGGCAUGCGUCCAAUUAGCUAGUUGGUGAGGUAACGGCUCACCAAGGCAAUGAUUGGUAGGGGAACUGAGAGGUCAAUCCCCCACACGGGCAGUGAGAUACGGGCCAGACUCCUACGGGAGGCAGCAGUAGGGAAUAUUGGGCAAUGGACGCAAGUCUGACCCAGCCAUGCCACGUGCAGGAUGAAGGCGUUAUGCGUUGUAAACUGCUUUUAUACAGGAAGAAACGACUCUUGCGAGAGGCAUUGACGGUACUGUAUGAAUAAGCACCGGCUAACUCCGUGCCAGCCGCCGCGGUAAGAC